UACGUAGGUCCCGAGCGUUGUCCGGAUUUAUUGGGCGUAAAGCGAGCGCAGGUGGUUUAUUAAGUCUGGUGUAAAAGGCAGUGGCUCAACCAUUGUAUGCAUUGGAAACUGGUAGACUUGAGUGCAGGAGAGGAGAGUAGAAUUCCAUGUGUAGCGGUGAAAUGCGUAGAUAUAUGGAGGAACACCGGUGGCAAAAGCGGCUCUCUGGCCUGUAACUGACACUGGGGCUCGAAAGCGUGGGGAGCAAACAGG
rnacentral:rRNA from 1 species